CUCUUCGUUGCCGCCGCCGACAUGUGCGAGGGAUGCCUGUCUUCUUCAAAGAACGAGAUGAAUGAAGGAUGCAGAGGAGACAGGCUCCAUGGCGUGUUCCUGCUGUAAAGCUCUCGACCUCUCGUACAGGGCACACCUCCGAGCUAGCCGGUGCUUAGUAUACCAGUGUUCUGCUGCAUCCGGUGCGACCUCAAAGAAUACCGUCGUCUAGCUGGCCGUUGAGCACCUUAGGGACGACGAGGUGCAGUGCCUGGGGUGUAAGCAGUUCAACUACACGAUGAAGUGAGUAAAGGGGUUAAGACGGUUGCGUUGUGCGUGCGCUGCUUGCUUGAUGUCAACUUGUUGGACAACUGUACACGUAUGUGUUUUUUCAAGCACACUGAUUUCAGCCUCUCCGUCUCCUUCAAGCCGAUGAGAAGUUCAGGGAUAUUCCUGGGAGUGCCUAUUAUGUGGCUCUGGAGGUGCUGAAGCGGAUAUAUGGAGCCGAUAAUUGCAUAUGGAGUGCUGGAGUUAUACUCUACAUUCUGCUGUCUGGCAUUCCUCCUUUUUGGGCAGCAGGGCAGAUCCUCCUGUGAAGCAUAAAUUUCAUUGUAUCCAAGGAGAUAUCAAAUGCUAAAAACAUGGGACUCAAAAUGUAUAGAGAGACGGAGACACUGCUAAACUGUCAUUUAUAGGUGUCUACCAAAUUCACUAUCAACCACUGUUGUAGGACCGGCGGUAUGUUAAAAUUUAUUUUGGUUUUAUUAGUCCAUGUAGAGAUGCUAUGCUCAGCUAUUGAUUUGACACUUGUGAUAUC